rnacentral:rRNA from 1 species
CAGCAGCCGCGGUAAUACGUAGGGUGCAAGCGUUAAUCGGAAUUACUGGGCGUAAAGCGUGCGCAGGCGGUUUCGUAAGACAGAUGUGAAAUCCCCGGGCUUAACCUGGGAACUGCAUUUGUGACUGCGAGGCUAGAGUGUGUCAGAGGGGGGUGGAAUUCCACGUGUAGCGGUGAAAUGCGUAGAUAUGUGGAGGAACACCGAUGGCGAAGGCAGCCCCCUGGGAUAACACUGACGCUCAUGCACGAAAGCGUGGGGAGCAAACAGGAUUAGAGACCCCAGUAGUCCCUGUCUCUUAUAC